rnacentral:rRNA from 1 species
AUAUCAGUCAUGCAUAGCACAUCAAUAAGCGGAGGAAAAGAAACUAACAAGGAUUCCCUUAGUAACGGCGAGUGAAGCGGGAAGAGCUCAAAUUUGAAAUCUUCAAGGGUUCUACCUUGACGAAUUGUAGUUUAUAAGAAGUGUUUUCUGUUAGUAGAGGUGGCUAAAAGUUCUUUGGAAUAGGACAUCAUAGAGGGUGAGAAUCCCGUAUUUGACGUCAUUCUCCUAGCUUUGUGAUACACUUUCAACGAGUCGGAUUGUUUGGGAAUGCAGUCCAAAAUGGGUGGUAAAUUUCAUCUAAAGCUAAAUAUUGGCGAGAGACCGAUAGCGAACAAGUACCGUGAGGGAAAGAUGAAAAGAACUUUGAAAAGAGAGUUAAACAGUACGUGAAAUUGUCAAAAGGGAAGCGUUUGACACCAGUGUUGUUUUUCCGAAAAUCAAUUACGAAUGUUUUAUUUUUGAGGAGUUAUGACUUCAUCGGCUUGCUCCUUUCUUUACGAAACUUUCUUAAUGCACUUUUCGGUUAACAAGUCAACAUCAAUUUCUUUUGCUGUAAAAGGGUAUGAGGAAGGUGGCUUUCUUUUCGGAGAAAGUGUUUAUAGCCUUGUACCUCUGCAAUCGGAGAGAUUGAGGUCUGCAGCGUAGAUCCUUCGGGGUUAGAUACAGUUUGUGCUGAGUUAUAGCUUUUCAUAGACAACUUGUUGACUAUGUUUAGUCUUGUAGCUUACUCGCUUAUGCUAUUUUACCUACGCUUAGGAUGUUGAUCUCUCACAGUCGAGC